GCCCGGCCCCGGCCGUGAGGGGCCACCCCGGGGAGCGCCCGCGGGGCCGCGCCGGAGCCGCCGGGCCCCGCCGGGACGGGACAGAGGGGAGGGCGUUCAGGGGACCGCGGAAUGUUUGGGUCACAGCCCCGGAGCUGGGAGGGGAGAUGAGAGGAGCUGAGCUCACCCCUGGCCAGGCAGGAUCCGCAUCCAGGUUAUCCCUGUGGAUCCCUGAACAUCCCUGAAUAUCCGAGCACACUGAAACCAAACCCUGAAGGAUCGAGCCACACCAGAGCGCAGUUCUGUACCUACAGUCUGAACUGCUGCAAUUACACUGCUCGCACAAAGCCUCUUAACAGAACAAAUCCACGAUUCAGCAAGAAAAUUAAUGAAAUGAAGAGACAGUUGGAGCUGCUGCCAAGAACAGUCAUUUCAGACCUAGCAACCUUGGAAAAU